rnacentral:rRNA from 2 species
UGGGGAAUAUUGCACAAUGGGGGAAACCCUGAUGCAGCGACGCCGCGUGAACGAAGAAGGUAUUCGUAUCGUAAAGUUCUGUCCUAUGGGAAGAUAAUGACAGUACCAUAGAAGAAAGCUCCGGCUAAAUACGUGCCAGCAGCCGCGGUAAUACGUAUGGAGCGAGCGUUGUCCGGAAUUAUUGGGCGUAAAGGGUACGCAGGCGGGUUAAUAAGUCGAAUGUUAAAGAUCGGGGCUCAACCCCGUAAAGCAUUGGAAACUGAUAAACUUGAGUAGUGGAGAGGAAAGUGGAAUUCCUAGUGUAGUGGUGAAAUACGUAGAUAUUAGGAGGAAUACCAGUAGCGAAGGCGACUUUCUGGACACAAACUGACGCUGAGGUACGAAAGCGUGGGGAGCAAACAGG